rnacentral:rRNA from 1 species
UCUUUGCAUGGAUGAUGAUA